UGAGGGGGAAUGGGGCUGGGCAUGGCAUCCUGCUCAAGGGCAGUGGUUCUGGCCGACGGUUCUAGGUGAUACCCAGUGGCGAAUGACCAAGUGGCCAAAUGCUGCACCAGUGCUGCCUCUACUACCAUUAUCUGCCCAGGACCAGAAAAUGGAUAAUCCAGAGAAUGUGGGCCAUAUGGUAGGGAAGGAGUUUGGGAUGUUCUUUGCUCAUGCCACGGCCUUUGUCCUCCUAUUCUUACAGUGUGGAACUCCAGAGUAUAUUGAUCAGCCUCAUCAGAGAUACGAAGAGGCAAUGGAUAGUUAACUGCAGAGUCAUGCUGUUUUCUCCCAUUGCCGAGGCACAGCUGAGAGGAGUUUCAAUGUUCCAAUGCUGGCAAGAUUUAAGUUGAAGGCUGCGGCUACGAGCUUGUGGGCUGAUUCGCAAUGCGUUCCAGUUUGAUCAAAUUCUCCAAAAGUUGCACUGAUGAGCCAAUGCAUUGCUGAGUGAAUCUUUUUGUAAUUUUCUGUUGCUUAGGUCUACUUACUGAAUCAGUGAAUCUUAUUGAUUCAUGUUUCUCAUGACUUCCUUGUAAAAAAUUAACAUACUAUAGCAUCUUACCGGAUCUUUUUUUA